rnacentral:tRNA from 1 species
AAGACAUUAGUAAAUAAAUUACAUCACUUUGUCAAGGUGAAAUAGUGGGUUAAAUUCCCGCAUGUCUUA